ACCCUGGGGAUGACAAUGGGGACAGCUACAGACGCCACAGAACUAUGCUAAGAAGUGGGUAAACUAUGCUGGACAUGCCUCUAAUCCCAGCUCAGGAGGCUUCGGACAGAGGGCUGCAAGUUCAAAGCCAGCCUGAGGGAACCAGAAGCUGAAAACAGGUUAAAACACGCCAUGUAUAUUCUGCUACUCUACUCAUGAUCCUCCUGCUUCAGCCUCCUUAGGACUCACUAGGGGCACAUGUGCUCUGUUGUCAAAUAAAAAGUCCACACCUGGAGCUCAUCCGGAUCCUGCCCAGCCACAAGAUCACCCUGACCCGGGUAACCACAGGAUAUCCAAGAUGAGUCUCUGCAGUAGUCCAGUAUUUACCAGAAAACUUGAACCAGAUCAUGGAUUACAGUAAGUAUUUACAUAUAAAGCUGUUUGGGCAAAAAAAAAAAAAAGCAUUCUGUGGCACACAACAGUUCGCAGUAGCACUCUAGCAAAUGAAUGUGGGAUGGAGAAGUGGGAAAGACGGCAGAACCCAGCAGUGCAUGCAGGAAGCAGAAGGAGGUGGAACGGGAGAAGCAGUGGCGGCGACAGGUAUGGGAGUGAGGCUGCUGGCGACAAAGGAGUCUCCAGGUAGGGCUGGGCUGGCAGGGUGGGGUGCAACGGCAUGGAGUUCUUGCAGGCUCUACCCUGAACAUGUGCCCAGUGGCACGAUCAUGUGAGACAUGUGAGAAAUAGUUCAGGAUGAAGCCUUCUCAAAAGACCUCAUGGUCUGUACUGCAGCUGGGAGCCCUGCUAGUUUCCGUGAGCCCUGUUACCACCCGAGGUCAUGUUGAUGUCCACGGUCUGUGUUGCUUCUGGAAGCCAUGUUGAGUUCCGUGGUCUCUGCUGCUGGGGCUGGCUGUGUUGAUGUCUGUGGUUCAUGCUGCUGCCAGCUACUAUGGGCAAGAAAGCUUCUUUUGCAGUGGUACCGAUGACUACAUAAUUGAGAAUGAGAGACGUUGAAGGCUUCUGUGACAACCUCUCCUGCUUCCAAAAAGAGAAACAGUGCAGACAGACGGGAAGCCACUGAAGAGAGUCCUUAACAAUUGUGAUAAAGAUGCUAAAGUUUAAAUAAAUAAAUAAGGAGUAGGUAGAGUGUUCAGCAACAAAUGGGACAUCUAUCACACCCAAAGGCUAAAGGACUUUGGAAGAGAGAGCACAGAGAUCCUAAGAGCCUGAGUUGGGAAGGAUUGAAGCUAAAGUGACUUCUCAAUAUGUCAGGACUGCUGCAGAAGCCAGAAGCCAGAAGAGGGCACUGGGUCUUCUGGAACCGAACUUAUAGGUGGUUGUGGAAGAACAAGUGCUCUUAACCACUGAGCCAUCUCUGCAGUCCCAAUUAAAAGGAAUGUAUAUGUAUGUGUGUAUGUAUAUGUAUAUGUAUGUAUAUGUGUAUCCAUAUGCAUAUGCAUGUGUAUGUGUAUGUGUAUGUGUAUAUGUUUUAAAGAGACAGGGUUUCUCUGUGUAACAGAGCCCUGGCUCCUCUCGACUCACCUUGUAGACCAAGCUGGCCUUGAACUCACAGAGAUCUGCCUGCCUUGACCUCCCCAGUGCUGGGAUUUAAAGUAUGUAUCCCCACACCUGGCUUCUAAAAAUAAUUUUUAAAAAUAAAAAAAGGAAUUCUCAAAGAAUAAAAACAUCUUUUUUACAGAAAGAAAAGAAACAGGCUUUUCCAAAAUGGUGAUGUCCAAAAAUUCACCAGAGGAGAACACUAAGAACUGCAUUCUCAAUACACACAGCAAACAAUGUGUGAUCUAUCUGUAGGGAGAAGAGCAAGUGUGUCUCUCUAAACUGUCCUGCAAGCCUGUGGUCUCAUCCUGUGGUGAGCCCCACCCUCUCCUUAACCUCCCCAAACAGUCUUAUUCCUCUGACAGAACUGCAGCGAUACUCCUCACAUUCACAGUCAUCGUCUCAGACCCUGUAUUCGAGGCCCUCACAGCUGCUAAAGCCACCCACAGGGCUAAAGCCUCUUUCCAAGUCUCUGUCUCCCGCCUUCCAUGUGUUCUUCUAUUUCUCCUCCCUGAAAAUUACUUCUUGGGACCUGUGUUUGGAUCCUAGGUCUAAACAGGCCACCUUGGUGGUCCGUUGAGCUUUUAUGACAAAAGCUUGCUGGGUUUUAAGAUGAAUCUGGGACUAAACCUCGGUUCCGUUACUUGCUAAUUUCAUGGCUUCGGUAACUCACUUCAUUCCUUAGGUCCUCAGCUACCAGACUAGAGAAGAGGAGAUCACCAUCACCCACUUCAUAAGACUGGAGAAUCUGGCAGAAGAGACUAUGUAAAGCCCUUGUUGUAGGUGCAGGUUAUGGGGUGCUAUAUCCCCAACUUCUCUGCAGCGUUCCUCUGUGCAAAGCGUCGUUUCAGGAAUUGGGCAAGGACAAACUCUGAGAAUAGUCAAGUCCUAGCCACAGUACAGUUAAGGCCACUUGUGAGCUCACAGCUAGAAUCUCUCUAGAACAUUAUCUUCCUUUCUGCUGCCCUGCGAGGCAGGAGCCCCUGUAUACCCAGCUCAAAGCCAUCUACUCCUUCUUUAUUGUCUCCCUGACCAGGUUGAGCCUUUUCUCUGUAAGGGAGUCCAUAAACUCCCAGGAAACCACACCCAACUCCAGCAUGUGCAGAUCUCAGAUUACUGGGUACAAACUCAGAAAUAGGGCUUAAGGGAGCAACCACAAUUGGGCCACCCAAGGAAAAAGCUGGGACCUUAAACAUGCUACCUGGUGAGCACUGUGUCUGAAAUGGGAAUUGGCUGUCCGUACGUAGAAAUCAGAUUUCACAUCUCAUACAAAUGUCCUUCAGAGGGCUGUCAGGGAUAGCUCAGUGGGGGAUACUAAGCACUUGCCACGAAAGCCUGACUACAUGAGUUCAAAUCUCCAGAUCCUAGAAAGGCCAGGCAUAUAGCAUGAGCAGGUUUCUCUAAAAAAUUAUUUAUUACAUAUAAGUACACUGUAGCUAUCUUCAGACACACCAGAAGAGGGCAUCAGAUCUCAUUACAGGUGGUUGUGAGCCACCAUGUGGUUACUGGGAUUUGAACUCAGGACCUCUGGAAGAGCAGUCAAGUGUUCUUAACCACUGAGCCAUCUCUCCAGGCCAGCACGAGCAGUUAUAAUCCCAAAACUCCUUGGGAAAAUGGAAGGGGGGGGGGCAGAAGAAUCCGGGAACCUCAAACCCCCACCAGCCUGGCAAACACAAGAGAAAACAAACAAACAAACAAACAAACCUUAAUCCUGCCUCAAAUAAGGAGGAAUAGCACCAAAAGUUGUUAUUUGCCCACUCGCAUCCACAAACACAGAUACAUGCAUGUGCACACACAAAUACAUAGAAAAAGCUAAAAAGCAUCUCAGAAGAUUGCACCAAUCCCUACCUGCAUUCUUGUAAGCUUCUCCCAGGGAUGAAGGACCCUCCCAUCAGUCUGCCCCAGACCCACAGUCCCCAGCAGCCCCCGACUUACCAAUCGAUGAGUUUGCCAGAAGAGUUAAACAAGUGAAUUGCUUUUUAUCCCUGGGUUGCCCUCAAAGGUUAGACAACAGAAGAGUCACUAAAAAGAAUGUCUGCUUCCAGAAAAGAAUAACACUAAUAAAAAGACAGCACUGCCCUGUUCCAUAAGCUCACAAAGACCUGUGCCAGCAUGCUGACAGGGUUCAUGCAUUGGGGUGACAGUGUCUGAAGCACAGUGCCCUGUGCAGUUAGCCUUGUAGUCACCAGAGGGUCUUUAAAGAAAUUCUGCAGAACGGACAAGUGCGUCUUACAAGUUAAACCCUUGGGCUGGGGUGUGAAUGGGGUGUCUGUGUAGCAUGCCAGGGCCCUGGGUUCCAUCUCCAGCUUACGUAGGCCAAGGUGGCAAGAGGGCAGAAAUGUAAGGUCAUCUUCCGCUGCGCAGCAGUUUGAGGCCAGCCUGGCAGGCAUGAAACUCUGUCUUUAAAAAGGAGGGGGUAAGGGAGGGGGAGGGAGGGAGGAGGAGGGGAAGGAGCAGAGAGAGGAGGGGGGAGAGGAGGAGGUGGUGGUGCUGGUUAAAUCUUUUAAAACAAGAGUACAUAUCAAGGGUGGAGGCUUCCAUACCUCUAAACUCCACCUAACGGUUGGGUCCAGCAGGCCGCGGUGACAGCAGCACGCAGCCAUUCCUGUGCCUCUUCCCAUAGGCUCUAGGGGCAAGUCUCUCCCAUCUGACCUUGCUGCCCUCUCUCCCACUUGAACCUUGGCAGUUCUGCCUCUGCACAGAAAUGCUAAUUUGGGAGCCAUGAACAGCCAAUCAGGAGAUCCUUUACAUUAGGCCGGCAAACCACAACCUGGAAAUGUCCUUGGGGUCCUGGGACCUUGGCUGUUUUCACCCUGGUGGCUGCUCAAAGGGCUCUUUCUUUGCUGCUAGGGACACUCCCUAGGGCAGGGAGAGGUGGUAUGUGCUGAGGGAGCUGGUCUAAGUAAAGACAUGGAGCUGAUGGAUUCUGGGAGCUUGAAAGUUCAGAAGGCCAUUGUAUUAGUCCAAUUUCUGUUGCCAUAACGAAAUGCUGGAGGCUGAGUUCUUUACAGAAAAAAGGUUUACAGUUUAAGAUCAGGCAGAUGCAAACUCUGAUGACACCCCCCCGUCCAGUUACAGAGAAAGACAGAAAAGGAAACAGACAUAUGGAGAAGCACCCAGAAGCAUGCUGUGGUGGUCUCACUUUAUAACGACCCACUCUCACUCCCAUGAGACCAUCAGUAAUCCUUGCUCCCACUAUCUCAUUACUUUGCACUGGGAACCGCCUCUUCAAAGUUCUACCACCGCCCAAUUGCACUGCAUUGUGGACAUCACCAGCACAGGAGCCUUUGACAACAUAGUAGCCAUCUUUAGGGAACUGAGGUUUUUGAGUCACUUUCCUGAACUCCCUUGGGCAAGAGUCUGGCCCUCUCAAUCCCUGGAACACUUUACCCUUCUCCACUGCUCCCACUACACCGUGGCCGAGAAACCCUCGCCAAAACACAGGGGCCACGUAUCUCCUUCUCUUUUUUAUCUUUCAAAGAUUUAAAGAAUUUUAAUUACAUGUGUGUGUCUCUAAAUGUGUGAACAUGAUGCAGAUACACCCACAGAGGUCUGAGGAGGACAUCGGACUUCCUGGAGCUGGAGCUCUAGGUGUUAUGAGCCACAAGCCUGACAUGGGUGGCAGGAGCUGAACUCAGGUCCCCUGAUAGAGCUUCCAACUUCUCUCCAGCUCCUAUAUUGGCUUCUUGAAUACAUUGCUACCAUGCUCCCCCACCAGACAUGGCAGUGCCUAGGGAAAAAAGAACAAGAUGUGGAGGGAAAGUCCACAGCCUUGUGACUCCACCAUGUACUAGCUCAGUGGGCAUACCUCUUAAUCUCUUUGAUCCUACGUUUACCUCUCCAUAAAAUGGGGAGAUGCUAACUUUACUAGGAUCUUAUGAUAAGUAAGACCAUGUAUGUAAAGUACCCUGUGGCUCAGUGCCUAGCACACUGAAGGAGACUCUUUUUCUUUUUCUUUUUUUUUUCCGGAGCUGGGGACCGAACCCAGGGCCUUGCGCUUGCUAGGCAAGCGCUCUACCACUGAGCCAAAUCCCCAACCCCGAAGGAGAUUCUUUUAAUGAUACCCUCAGUCAAUUAGACAGUUCAGCACAGCUUCAGGGCCAGAGUUCAAAUCCUGGCUCCAACAUUUGCCAGAAUGACUGCAAAAAUAAUCAGCCCGACACUGCUUCACUCCGAGGCUGUGUGCAGACUGCUAGUACAUAUGAGGCAUUGGUCGGCGCAAGGAGAGCCUAGCCAAGGAAAGGCAGAGCCCCCUGGCUCACACUCAUUUGCAUAGUUACUCUCAGCAUCCACCUCAUUGACGCCGCCCUGUUCUGGGGCAGGAAGCACCGGAGCCUGUUAGAAACACAGGUAAUCACCCGGACGGUUGAGCUGCCACCUCGUGUGUGAAGGGCCUCUGGGACUGUGCUGUAAGCUGGGCAAGGAACAAUGAACCAGCAGCCUGGGAAUGCAUAUUUUAACAGCUCCCCGGGGUGCACUGACUCUCAGUCAGGGUGAAUAACAGUGGGGAUUUCCUUUGGAACAAGCACUUAAGGUAAACAGAGCAGGCGCCCCACCUGGCUCCCUACCUCUUAGGCAGGGCUCCGUGGCUGAGCCACACUAGUGUUAAAGUCACACCCUGACGCUGGGAGAAACAGCAAAUGUGUGGGGGGUAGGGGGUGCCUCGUCCUUCCUCCUCUGGCCUCCUUCCGCCGGGAUCCCACUUCCCUCAGUGAAUUUGGAGAGGAGCUGCCCAGCAGGGCCUCCAACUCCCUGGCCAGUCUCCGGACCCAAGACUCAGCCUAGUUAUGGCUACCGGGGUUCUGCCAGGCAGACAUAAUCUGUCCUUCAGCUCUGGCAACCAGGCCACAUACCCUGUGAUCAUGGCCAUUUGGCCCGCAGCUUCUGUGGUGGGGAGAGUCUUGAGAGCCAGAAGUGAUCUGCCCCAAGUAACGGCCCUGCUUACGGUUAAAACAACCAGCAGGUUGAUGGUGGCCUGAGGCUUCAGGAGUCAUUUCUUUAAAAAAAAAAAGAAAGAAAGAAAGAAAGGAAGGAAGGAAGGAAGGAAGGAAGGAAGAAAACAAACAAACAAACAAAGAUUGCUGAAAAGAAGCCUUUUAACUCAGGAAGCAGGCCCAUCACCUUACAAAUCCAAGGCCCUCAAUCCACACCUGUCACCACGGGGAAUCUUUUAACGAGAGAGAGAGAGAGAGAGAGAGAGAGAGAGAGAGAGAGAGAGAGAGAGAGAGAGAG